UUACUGACGUCGUUAAUUAUACAUCAUGCAUGGUGGUGCACCCAAAGUUUCCGAGAAGCGUUACACCAGCGAGCAUAGGAGGCAUGGAGGUUGGGGCAAUCAGAAGACGAGCAAUGUGUGAAGUGGUGUUGAGUUUUUGUUUUAAAUCUUGUAUUGUAUUUCUCAUCAUCUUUACAAGAGUGAAAGACAACUCUUAUAGAGAGCCGAAAAGAAGACUACAAGAGGAAGGUUAACAGCCAUACCUCACUACCAAAUCAGUCCUAACAAGUGGACAAGACAAAUAUUAAUAACAAGUAAAGUGGUUCCUAGAAACAAGGAAGAAAGAUUGACAAAAGACCUAAGUGAGUGACAAGGCCUACAAGACUAGAGUAUGGUUGAGAAAAUCACUUUAACCCAUGACUUAGCUAGAGUGAUGUUUACAACCAUACUUGUGACAUUUGCUUUACAACCAUACUUGUGACAUAUAUAAGCAACUAGCAACUAGUAUUCGGUUUGUUUCAAUACUCCCCCUCAAGCUGGAUCAAGGGGGUCAAUUGAUCCAAGCUUGCACAACAAACGCUGUAAUUGAGUAGAAUCUAGGGUUUUUGUGAACAAAUCAACCAGUUGAUCAUGGCUUCGUGUGAACACCGUGUCGAUCACCUUGGAUUGAACCUGAUCACGAAUGUAAUGGCAAUCAACUCCAAUAUGUUUAGUCCUCUCAUGAAACACUGGAUUAGAGGCAAUGUGCAUGGUAGCUUGGUUGUCACAAAACAAAGACAUUGGUGUGUUGCUUGUGAAACCGAGAUCAGAGAGAAGACUUUUCAUCCAUAUAAGUUAACAUGUUGUCGCUGUCAUGGCCCUCUACUUAGCUUAUGCACUGGACCGUGCAAUUACGGUUUGCUUCUUACUCUUCCAAGUGACAAGAUUGCCUCCAACAAAUGUGCAAAAAUUUGUGGUAAACUUUCAAUCAAUGGCAUUUCCAGCCCAGUCAACAUCGGUGUAAGCCAUGAUGUGAUUUGAAUCAUUGUUCUUCAUAAGUAUUCCUCUACCUACUGAGCUCUUGAGAUAACAAAGUAUUCUUUUAACAAUUUCCCAGUGAACUAGUGUAGAAGAGUGCAUUAACUGAUUGGCUAGGCUUACUAAAUAAGAAAUAUCAGGCCUAGUAAUAGUGAGAUAAAUGAGUUUCCCAACCACUCGCUGAUAAACACUAGGAUCCGAGAGAGGAUCACCUUUUUCAUGCAACUUAAGUUUGCUAGCUAGGGGUGUCCAAGCUGGCUUGCACUCCAUCAUGGUAGCUUCAUCCAGAAGAUCUAGAACAUACUUUCUUUGAUUCAAGAAUAACCCCUUUGAAGAGGUGGCCACCUUAAUUCCAAGAAAGUAUUUCAAGGUCUCCAAGUCUUUAAUGGCAAUUAUUUUUUAUGAAGUGAUUGCUUAAGAGUCAUGAUUUCACUCAUAUUGUCACAUGUAAUAAUAAGAUCAUCAACAUAUAUCACAUGUAAUAAUAAGAUCAUCAACAUAUAUAAGUACCACUACUUUCCCAGUAUUACCACUUCAAACAAACAAGGAUGAGUCAACAUGACUCCUUUUGAACCCUGCAGCUUCAAGAAUUGAACUGAGCUUCGAAUACCAAGCUCUAGGGGACUGUUUGAGACCAUAUAUGGCUUUGUGAAGUCUACAGACCUUGUUGGAUUCCUUUUCUCUUGGAUGACCUGGAGGCAACUUCAUGUACACUUCUUUUUCAAGCUCCCCAUGAAGAAAUGCAUUCUUCACAUCCAUAUGGAAUAAGGGCCAUGCAUUAUUGACUGCCACAUAUAACAAUACCCUCACAGUGUUCAUUUUGGCAACUGGAGCAAAGGUCUCCUUGUAGUCAAUGUAAUAGGUUUGUGUAAAACCUUGAGCUACUAUAUAUGCCUUAUGUCUCUCAACGCUUCCAUUGGAGUUGAACUUGGUCUUAUAUAUCCACCUACUUCUUAUUGCCUUCUUGCCCUUUGGAAGAUCCAUUGUACUCCAUGUCUGGUUGUCAUUCAAAGCUUGGAGCUCUUGAGUCAUAGAAUCUUGCCACUUAUGCAUGCAUAAGGCUUUAUGAAAACUCCUUGGUUCAAAAGUGUUGGAUAAUUUGUUAAGAAAAGAAGCAUAAGAUGGUGAGAAUCUGUGAUAAGAAAUGGAUGCAUAAAUAGAAUGUCUUACACUGUAAGUAAUGUACUUUUGCAACCUUACUGGUGGAUGUCUAUCUCGUGCAGGAUUUCUCCUUGGUUCAGGUUCUAAUGGUCCUGAGGAGCUAGGCAUGCCCUCACUUACACUCUUAGUGGGGUGAGAAUUCUCAGUGUUGGUAUGAGCAGGAGUGACUUCAUGAACUUUUGCUAGAGUAGGCAGUGGAAAUAGGUCAAUAAGAUCUUCCCUAUUGGAAUUAGUCUCCAAACCUUUGUGGAAAUAAGGUGAAUAUUCAUCAAAUCGAACAUCUCUACAGACUGCCAGCUUCCCAGUAUUAGGAUUGUACACUUUGUAACCCUUUUGAGAACUCGAGUAUCCCAUAAACACAUAUUUGACAGCCCAAGGGUCGAGUUUAUCACGAUGGGAAGCUUGAAUGUGCACAUAACAGGUGUAACCAAAGGUCCUAAGGUGAGACAAGUCUAUAGACCUGCCCUUUAUGACUUCAAAGGAAGAUUUAGUAUUCAAAACAUGAGUUGGCAGUCUGUUAAUGAUGUAAGUGGCAGUGAGUAGGGCUUGAGACCAAAAUUUCUUGGGAACAAGAUCAUAAGUAAUCGAGUCUUUUCCAAUAAGUCUCGAUUCUUUCUCUCUGCCACACCGUUUUUGUUGUGGAAUACCAACACAGGUAGUUUGAUGCAAAAUGUCAUGAUUGCUCAAGUAACUACUCAUGUUAUUGGAAAUGUACUCGGUGCCAUUAUCUGAUCUUAACAUAUAUAACUUAGAUGAGAAAUGAUUUGUGAUUAGGUUGUGAAAGUCUUUAAAAGCAUCAACAACUCACUUUUAAACUUUAAAAGAUACAACCAGGUCACUCUAUAAUAGUCAUCAACAAAUGUAACAUAAUAGAUAUACCCAUCAAAGGAUUCUACACGAGAAGGACCCUAGAUAUCUGAGUGAACAACCUCAAAAAGUCUACUAGUUCUAGAAUUAAAGGAAACAAAAGGAAGCCUAGUGGCUUUUGACAUUUGACAAGUUUCACACUCAAGUGUGUUUUUACAAAAAAUGGGAAACAACUUGGUCAUCACAGGUUCUGAGGGAUGGGCAAGACGUUGCUGCCAUAGUUGGUGUUCCUGAGCGUGACUUAGGUUGAGACUAAGUUUUUUUGACAAAUUUGGACUCCUUUAAGAGGUAGUAAAGUCCAUUUAAGAAGAACCAUUCACCAAUCUUCUUAUGUGUAACUCGAUCUUGAAACAUAACAUUGUGAGGGGAAAAUAUGACAAGACAGUCUAAAGUUUUUGUGAUUCUUCUUAUAGACAAGAGCUGAAAAGGAAAGGAAUGUACAUAGAAGGCAGUAGAAUCAGUAUGCUCACUCAGCAAUCUAACUUUCCCUUUCCCUAGAAUAGGUUUUCCUUUCCCAUUUGUAACAGACACAUGAAUUAGAUCACUAGUUUUUUGAAAUUCAUGUAGACUAGAGGAUUUAUUAGUUAUAUGAUCAGUGGCACCUAAGUCAAUAAUCCAAAAAUCAUGUGUAACAUUAGCAUUAAGAGCAGUGGAAAUGGCACUGAUUAUACCUGGAAUAUUGCCUUUCAAUGUGUUCUUCGAGUCAGCCAAGAAGCCAACAAAUUUCCCUAGUAUUGCAGUAGGGUUUUCAGUCAUCACUUCCUCAUGCUCAAUGCUUCCUUGCUUCUUUUAAAGAAAGACUGCAAACUCACUUAUCAAGGAAAUGGGGUUUGUUGAGAAAUUUUCCAUCUUAUCAGCUAAGGAACAAGCUGAGUGAAAGGCUUUUGGAGUGACUCCCUUCACAUCUUUGAUCAUCCGACCUUCCUUAUCAAACUUAGGUUUUAACUCUGGAUGUAGGAUCCAACAUUUUCUCUCAAAUGUACCUUCAUGUUACAAUAAGAACAUUUCCAAUCUGCUUUCUUCCCAAGCUCUAUAUCACCAGUUGUCUUGUGAUUGGUUGUGAAAACCCUAGUCUCAUAGUGGGAUUUGGGCUCAACAUUCACCACUCUUCAUCGAGUUUCCUCUCUAUGGACUGCAUGACACACACUGGUAAAUGAGGGCAGCUCUGGAGUCAUUAACAAAUGACUAUGUAGGUCUUCAUACUCAACUCCCAAGCUUGCCAAGAGUUGAAACACCUUGUCUUCAUCAGCCCUCUUCAGAAGCACACCAGAAUCAGUCAUGUAUGGACGGUACAUAUCGAGUUCAUUCCAUAUGGAUUUCAAGCUUCCAAGAUGUUGAAGCGUGCCAUGCAUCAUAGGUAGAUGAAGUGGAUUAUGGAGCCUCCAAGCUUCCAUUGAUAAACCUUAGUUUCGAUCUUCCUCCUAAAGCAAGCGACACAGCUCUUGACCAAGGUAGGUAGCUGAACUCGUUCAAUAGCACCGAUCAUAGUCGUUGAUUUGGGUUGUUCUCACCCCCUUGAGUUAAGUUGGAGGGUGAAGAUAAGGAGCUAUGAGCACUAGAGACAUUUUCUUCUACCAUCUAUUUCAAUGAUGAGGAAACGAAGAAGAAAAAAGGAGAAAAAAAAACAAACAGAGUCAGGACCCUAUGGUUCCUGCUCUGAUACCAUGUUGAGUUUGUUUUAGUUUUAAAUCUUGUAUUGUAUUCCUCAUCAUCUUUACAAGAGUGAAAGGCAACACUUAUAGAGAGCCGAAAAGAAGACUACAAGAGGAAGGUUAACAGCCAUACCUCACUACAAAAUCAGUCCUAACAAGUGGACAAGACAAAUAUUAAUAACAAGCAAAGUGGUUCCUAGAAACAAGGAAGAAAGAUUGACAAAAGACCUAAGUGAGUGACAAGGCCUGCAAGACUAGAGUAUGGUUGAGAAAAUCACUUUAACCCAUGACUUAGCUAAAGUGAUGUUUACAACCAUACUUGUGAUAUUUGCUUUACAACCAUACUUGUGACAUAUACAAGCAACUAGCAACUAGUAUUCAGUUUGUUUCAAUAAGUGGUGAAGCCACAACGAUAGCACUUUCUCUUGAUCCUUUUCCUCUUCCAGCAUCUCUAUCGUCGCUUCCAAUACUCUAUCCAGCUCAGCCCUUCCACCGAUGCUCAAAACCGGGACAUCGGUUCCAUUGCUGGCUCGGCAUAGCAAUGGCAGCCACGAGUUUAACGUCUGCACCUCUGUUUGCUUGUGUUGCUCUUUCUUGCUUUCGUUGUCAGUUUCAUCCAUUCCCAAGUGUUUGGCCUGCUUAAACAACAGUGCUGCACGAAAGGGUUUAGCAGCUAGGGUUAUAUUUGGCUCAAUGUAAAACAAGUCAAGCCUAUAUUUAGCUCAAUAAAAACAAUUCAAGCUUGAAAAUUGGUAUUUAAGAUGGAGAUUGGUACUUUGUCACUCCAUCUUCUUUUGUUACUAAAUAAACUACAUGCGUGAAAAAAUAAAAGGACGUUUAUGUGACUGUUAACAAGAACAGACUAAUUUAUUGCAGUGACUAACUCGAAACAACUUGAGCUCAGUAUCGAGCUUCAAGUUUUUAAGCUUGCUUUGCCUAUAUGUAUAUGAGAAGCAUACCAAGCUUCACUUGAGUGCAAAAAACACUAAACAAGCCAAACUCGAGUAAGGUAAUGCUCAGUUGAGUGCACUAACGAUCCCAAUUAUAAUUUGUAUAUCAAAGUUAUGUCAUGUCGUUGUUGAAGGAGGAACGCCUCCCUCCCUCCUUACACAUAAAGAGCCAAGCAGUUUCCAGUAUAGAAUUCGUGAAUGAAGUGAUGUCUUGUACGAAAUUGAUAUUCUCUACAGGACUUGUUUAAAUGGACAGCUUAUAGGACUCAAGGUACUUUAAAAACAGAAGUGUGUUCUUCUAAACAUAAAAUUUGAUUAAUGGUGGAUCAAGCAGUUUUUCCUUUUUUCUUGUUUAGCGCCCCCCCCCCCCCCCCAAAACAAAAAAAACACACAACAAUUAAGCAAACCAAAAAUAAAAAUACAAUUCAAUUUCGUAUGAUAUACUGUGGAAGGAGAAGACCAGAAGCUUUUAAAUGAUUCACUACCUAGUACCUGCCCUACCCUUACGUACUAUUACUGACGUCGUUAAUUAUACAUCAUUCAUGGUGGUGCAGCAAAAGCUUCCGAGAAGCGUUACACCAGCGAGCAUAGGAGGCAUGGAGGUUGGGCCAAUCAGAUGACGAGCAAUGUGUGAAGUGGUGAAGCCACAACGACAGCACUUUCUCUUGAUCCUCCUCCUCUUCCAGCAUCUCUAUCGUCUCUUCCAAUACUCUCUCCAGCUCGGCCCUUUCUCCGAUGCUCAAUACCGGGACAUCGGUUCCGUUGCUGGCUCUGCAUAGCAAUGGCAGCCACGACAUUAACAUCU
rnacentral:lncRNA from 1 species